rnacentral:misc_RNA from 1 species
GGAGGUUUUUGUUGCUGGCCUCGUUUGAAGCCAGCUCCUCCUAAACGAAUUAGUGGGGUCCGCCGUGCCGACCCUCGACGUGAUAAGUACGCUUCUACGUCUUGGGGUUUCGCACUGUCGCCUGCUUCCAACCGUCUUUGAAUGAAGACAAUCUUAUAGACCUUGACCUCAAAUCGGGUGAGACUACCCGCUGAACUUAA